rnacentral:lncRNA from 1 species
UUCAAAAUGAAAGUAAAAUCUGUAAAUUUUAUGAUUUUCAAGGGUUAAUGCAUAAAACAUGGGAAAGUCGCAAACUGAAUAAGAAGACAACAAAUUUUAUGAUUUAAAAUUAACAAAAGAUCUGAAAAGAGAUUUCAUGGGAAACCACAAGGCAAUGAGCAAGACAACCAUGUUAGCACAAACAAGCCGGAGCCCUGCAGGUUAAGCAUAUCCUGUUAUUCCCUAUAGAAGCUGUGCGAGAUAUUUAGACAAAAGUAGCGCCAGUGAGGACAAAGAGAGAGAAGAUGCCUUCCUCACCACUGAUGGGGACACAAAUUAAUUCCACCAGUGUGGAAAUCAGUGUGGAUAUUCCUCAGAAUUACAGUUACCACCACUGCUGUGUGUGUAUACAUACAUAUAUUUAAACAUGACAAUAUGUGAAAGGAAACCAAUAUAUUGAAGAGAUAACUGCACCCUUAGAUACACUGUGGUAUUAUUCACAAUAGUCAAGGCUAUAAGUCACAAGACACAAAGGAUCAACCUUGAUGCCCAUUCCUUGAUGAAUGUCACAUAUAAACACACACACACACACACAAAAAACUCAUACACACACAAACACUAUUCAGCCUUAAAAUGAAGAAAAUUUUGUCAUUGCAAGAGUACCUGUGAAAUUGGAGAAUAUUCAUUUUAAGUUGAGAAUGGCCUGGCACAGGAAGUGAAAUACCACAUGAACUCCUCACAGGAAGUGAAACACCACAGGAUCUCACCUCUGUGGACUAGGAAAUCAUGUUAAACUCACAAAAGUAGAGAAUGGCUACCAGCCACAGGAGAAGACAUUGGUCAAAAGACAGAACUUUAAUUAGACAGGAUGAACAAUUUUAAGAAAUCUAUUAUGCAAUAUGCCAACAUUUUUAAAAGAAUGCAAUAUACUUAAAAAUUACCAGAUUUUAAGUAUUUUUACCACAAAAAAAUGUGUAACCUACUAUGUAUGUUAAUUAAUUUAUUCAUUACUAUAUGUGUAAUUUCACAUCAACAUGCUGUCGAUAAAUAGACACCUUUUUUCAGAAAAUUUAAAAUUAUAAAAAAAUCUUUUAAGGAAGGAGCAUUUAUGUUAAAUUAUGUGUGCUAUGUGUGUUACUGUUGCCUAAAAUACCUCUCAAAACUUGGUAGUUUAAAUAAACACAUUUUCUGAUGAUUCUAGAUGCAAACUGCGCUUGGUAAAGCACUGAUUGCUGGCUGUGCCCUAACUGAGGCUGCACAGUCCCCUGACAGCUCAGCUGGGGUAGGCCGCCUCCCUCUACCAGGUUCUGACUAUUUAUUCUCUGUUGGCAGACUACCAAAGGACUAUCAAGGCUACUUACAAAGGUGACUCAGAGUAGGAAGUUACUGUAAACACCAACUACCUAGUCUCUUAGGACCUGAAGGUGAGGAUUUCCCAAGGGGCCACUCUGGCAUGGAGGAAGGAGCACUGACUGCAUCAUGCCAAGAGCAGACGAUGCUCUCCCUGCCCUAUCCUUGUAGGCACUCUGCCACCAAGCUGCUGCACUUCAUUGUUUACUGAACACAUGCUUCCCUGAAGAUGGAAAUUAAAAAUUGUCUUUCCAUUCCUCUGUACCAUGAAGGCUGUACAAACAAACAUGGGCAAUAUGUUCAAUAGGAGCCAACUCAAAGAACUAAUCCUCUAGGGGGGUCAGUACAGAAGGUGUGAUUUAAAAUUUGACCCUAAAGAAAGAAAAGCUAAAAAUGGAAAGGAAGGGGAGAGUUAGCUGGAGGGGAGGAAAAAUAAUUAAGAAGUAGAAAUUGACUCACUUUAAACACCAUGGGGUUGUUUGAAUCCCGAAAUGAUCCAGUAUGUCACCUCAACAUUCGACAUGAAUUUCUUCUGUCUGGACAGUUUAAAAUGUCUGUACCUCUUGCCUUAGAAAUGUUAUGAUUUGGAAUUAACAUCAGCUCACUCUUAUCUCUAGCCUGCGCAUUGUUUGUGUACCCAUGUAUAUGCCUAAGUAUGUGUGUGAACUGGAGUGGCAGACAUCUGACACUCAUUUCUUAUGCACACGCGUACACACAAAC